rnacentral:lncRNA from 1 species
GGCUUAGUUAGUGGAUCCACCAUGUUUCCAUAGGGUCUACUCUCUUCACCUUGACAUCUUUCAAGUCGAGGUAAUCACAUAUUAUUUAAAGUCCUCUUUUUCAUGUGCUGGAUAUUCUGGUGAGACCAAAGCUCCAUUAGCUAAGGACUAUGGUGCUAAUAUUAUCACUAUGAUGACAUCAAUUGCAAUAAAGAUACUUGGAUCAGA